UGAUUACCUCAUCACUUACAGCCACACCAGAAGCCUGGAAAGAAAAGAAAGAGAAAUUUUACAUCAUGUGAAAAGUACAAACAGGUUGGUAGGCUGUUUGCUCAUGUUCAAGGGUGUGGAAUGUGCAGGUGAGCAUGCUAGGACUGGUUCUUUUUGGCUCAGAAAUGUGUGCAGGUGCAUUCCUGAUGAUGUAUCUUUGGGUGGAGGAGGAGAUGUUUUGUUAAGAUACACCAACAAGAAGUAUUUCAUUAAGUGUUGAAGGCUAAAUGGUCAGGCCAGGAUGCUUAAAACAAUUUCAAAACAUUUCCUGUCAGAAGUGUACAACAAAAGUGUAAAAUAAAACAACUCACUGGUCAUCCCAUCACAAAUGGUCAAAUCAGAUUGUGCGAGUUUUUAAUUUUCCUAAAAAAAAAAAAUUACUUUACUAGGUUUAACAGUAGUGGCAAUCUUUGUGUCAUGGCACACAGCAAAUUCUGAUUAUACAGCUUUUUACGAAAAUCUCAAUAUCUCGGCUCAAUAUGGGCCUAGCUCCUUGGAAUAUUGGAUCAUUUUCCUCAAUAAAUAAAUGACCAAGUAUAAUAUUUUUGUCUCAUUUAUUUAAUUGUGUUCUCUUUAUCUACUUUUUGGACAAACAUCUGAUGAUGUUUUAGGUCAUAUUUAUGCAGAUAUAUAGAAAUAUCUAACUUCACAAACUUUCAAGCACCACUGUAGAGAACUUAUUUCUGACAAAAUUUCAGGUUCGUAUCUGAUCCCCCACCAGAGAUAUUCAACCCAAAAUUGAGGGAUUUUUUUUUUAAUUGCCACUUUCUCCUCCCCAUAAAAAUUAAGCAAAGUCUUAAACCUGAAAUGUUCUGCAUGCACACUAUACUUGCCUAGGUACCCCCUAAAAAAUAAGACAGACUCAAACCCUUCCUAUUAUAAACUGACCCUAAAUGUGGAACUGUGAGCCAUCUUGAGCAUUACAUUUGGACUUAAGUUCUAAGUUGAGUUAGGCUGUGUCUCGUGUUCAAGGGUGUGGUGUGUGCAGGUGAGCAUGCUAGGACUGGUUCUCUUUGGCUGAAAGAAUGUGUGCAUGUGCAUUUCUAAUGAUGCAUCAUUGGGUGGAGGUGGAGAUGUUAAGAUACACCAGCACGAAGUAAUCCAUUAAGGCUUAAAGGGCAGGCCUGGAUGCUUAAAACAAUUUUAACACAUUUCCUUCCAGAAGUGUCAAAAAACAAAUCAUAUGUUUUGUAUAGCCUUAAAAAAACACCUAUAUUUAUCAGAAUAACAACAUUUAUAAUUGUUUAUAAAUUCAUGGUAGAAAUUUUGCCUUUAAAAUUUUUUUUUAAAUAUAUUCUAUUCAAAAAUCGACAUUUUUUCUGUACAUUCUAAGGAGGGGAGUAUAUUGUCAAGUAAAAUAUUUCUACUGGAAAACUCCCCAUCCACUGUGUUAGGAAGACCUUUACACUUGCACUUCAAGCAGUUAUCUAAUCAGCAGGAGCACAAUGCAAAAAAAAAAAUCAUGCAGAUAAAGGUCAGAAACUCUUCAAUGAAGAAAAAGUGUGAUCUCUGUGACUUUGAUCAUGGCAUGGAUGUUGGUAACAGAUGGGCUGGUUUGAGUAUUUCAUAAACUGCUGAUAUCCUGAGAUUUUCACACACAAUAGUCUCUAGAGUUUACACAGAAUUUUGCGGAAAACAAAAAACACUGAGUCAGAGACAGUUCUGUGGGUGUAAAUGCCUUGUUGAUAAGAGAGGUCAGAGGAAAAGGGCCAGAUUGUUUUGAGCUGUCCAGUUUCGGUGAGUCUGUGCCCAUGAUAGCCCCAGAUUUUUGUUCUUGGCUGACAGGAGUGGAAUCUGAUGUGAUCUGCUGCCAGAGAGAGAUAGUUUGUAUAUAAUGUAACCUUAGUUUUGACAGGUAUAGGUCAAAGGUCAAAAAGAUACAUAUUCUCACUCUCUAUAUCUAGAUCAAAGGUCAUGAUCAUAAAAAUAUUUAUAGUUAUGUUAAAUCGGGAUCACAUACAUUCGUGACACAAACGUUACCUUACAUGUUACGGCCAUGUGUAUUCCAGACACACACACACGUUGCACACAUGUUCUUUCUUUAUACAUAGAAGGUGAAACUCUCUGAGGUAGGUCAUAAAAAUAUAUAUAGUUAUGUUAAAUCUGGAUCACAUGCAUUCGUGACACAAACGUUACCAUAUCUGGUACGGCCAUAUGUAUUCCAGACACCCACACACAUUGCACAUGUUCUUUCUAACACUCUGAGGUAGGUCAUAAAAAUAUAUAUAGUUAUGUUAAAUCGGGUUCCCAUCUAUUCCUGACACAAACGUUACUAGUUAUGUUAAAUCGGGUUCCCAUCCAUUCCUGACACAAAUGUUACUAUACAUGGAAUGGCCAUGUGUAUUACACACACACACAUCCAAACAAAAAUAUGACACACAAACACACUUCAUUUUCACAUUAUUUAAAAGGAAUUUAAGUGUUAUGUACUAAAUUACCAUAAUUAUGAACACAAGUUGUUAAGUUGACAAUCAUUUAUAAAAUUACAUUUCUCCAUUUAGACUGUCUGCAGUAGAAUGCAGUCUUUUAAACCAGGAAAAAUGACUGCCUUUAAGUUGUAUAACAAUAGUAAGUAAAAUCCAGUGUGAUUUACAUUACAAAUCUCAUACGUAACAUCUCUGCAGGAUUUAUAGACGUUAAAGCACUGAAUGAAAUGAGCAAUAUAGACAAAAAAUAAACAAUCUGUGUCUACUACUUUUAUCUCUCUCAUAGAACUAUCCACAGUCCAAAGGCAGUGGAUCUAGAAGCAAAAAGAAGUUUUGUAUAGCUCCGCUGUUAGAAAAUACAUGAUGAUUGAAUGUGAACAUAAAUGAGCAGAAUGUAAGCUUGUGAAAUAAAUGAAACUUUAUUGAUUGCACUUUUGAGAAAAUGGCAUGACUUUGAAUAAAAUUUUACUGAAAUAAAUACUCUAAAACAUUGAUAUACCCGAAGAAAUGUAAAAAAAAAAAAAAAAAAAGAAAAGAAAAAAAAAGUUUUUAGAUACCUUCUAAAUAGGUCCUUUUAGGAGGUAAACGUUUUAAAGACGGUGUUUUAUAAGAAACGCGCGCAUGACAUGCAUUCUAAACCUAACCCUUUAGGAUGUAAAAUGUUUAAAGUGCUGCUUAAAAGAAUCGAGAGUUUUGUUUAAACUAGAAGACACAUUUUCCGGGCGAUGUCUUGUAGGCCUAUACACACUGUCCUACACAUGUGUUUUCCCGUGGUGACAGUUCUGUAGAUAGUGUAAAUUUUACAUUUAUGAGCUCUGGUGACAGUGUCUGAAGUGUGUGUGUAUGUGGGUGUGUGGGUGUGCGUGCGUGUGGGUGGGUGUGUUAGAGAGAGAGAGAGAGAGAGAGAGAGAGAGAGAGAGAGAGAGAGAGAGAGAAAGAGACAGAGAGAGAGAGAGAGAGAGAGUCAUGUGUUUCUUGGGGGUUUGCUGACCAGAAUGCUUACAGUGUGUUUAUGUUAAUGAAUUAAGGGACGAGUCGUGUGUUUCAGGGUUUAACGAUCCCUACCAAUGUGUACAUUUGUGGUUUAAGUGAAUCUUUGUUUUUGAAAUUACAUCUGUGGUAAUUAUUAGUUUGUGUAACUAAUCUAUCAGAAAAUACUAGAUCUGGUGACUGAAUGUGGUAGAUGUAUUAGAAUUUUGGACAUGUUAUGCAUGUGUAGCUCCCUAUGUGUAUGAUCUAUGUGUAAUCCUUCUGUCAAGAAAUGAACAGACUGAGGUUUGUGAAAUAAUUGAACUAUUUAUUGGCUACGUUGUUGAGAAAAACACUGUGAUGUGUAAAACAUUUCUACAGUCCUUCAACGCUGUAUGAUGUCAUUGUUCUCUUUUACUGAAAGAAAGGUCAAAACCAUCGGUGUUAUUCGGUGUGGAGACUGAAGUGACAAUAUGUCUGAAGAAAAUGGAAAUAUGUAUUACAUAUCCUACCUUCUAACCAGGUUAUUUUAAGGGUGAAAAAACCUUUUUUAAAGACGGUGUUUUAAAAGAGUCGUGCAUUUUGUUUAAACUAUAAACAAGAUUUCAGAAAAUGGUUCGCCAACGAGGAUACUUACACAGAACUAUCGCUAAAUACAUAAGCUUUUGUCUAUGCUUUGACAUCCCAUGUCCCAGCAGUACAUUUAUGACCUCUGAUGACCAUGUGGGUGUGCGGGGGUGUGUGUGUGAGAGAGAGAGAGACACAGGUGUUCUUUUGGGGGUUUUGCUGACCAGAAUUCUUACAAAUGCGUUUGUUAACGAAUUAAAGGGAGUCGUGUGUCUCAGUGUUAAAAUAAUGGUUAAGAUGUCAUAGUUAAAACACAGAAGAAACUCUGCAACUAUCUGUUACAAUGUCUGCUCCGAGAAAUCCUAACAAUGUGUCAGGAAUGGAUGUAAUCCAGAUUUAACAUAACUAUAUAUAUUUUUAUGACCUACCUCAGAGUGUUAGAAAGAACAUGUGCAACUUGUGUGGGUGGAAAACAUAUGGCCGUACCAGGUAUGGUAACGUUUGUGUCAGGAAUGGAUGUGAUCCAGAUUUAACAUAACUAUAUAUAUAUUUUAUGACCUACCUCAGAGUGUUAGAAAGAACAUGUGUGCAACGUUUGUGGGUGGAACACAUAUGGCCGUACCAGGUAUGGUAACGUUUGUGUCAGGAAUGGAUGUGACCCAGAUUUAACAUAACUAUAUAUAUUUUUAUGACCUACCUCAGAGUGUUAGAAAGAACAUGUGUGUGCAACUUGUGUGGGUGGAAAACACAUGGCCGUACCAGGUAUGGUAACGUUUGUGUCACGAAUGUAUGUGAUCCAUAUUUUACAUAACUACAUAUAUUUUUAUGACCUACCUCAGAGAGUUUCAUAUUCUAUGUGAAAAGAAAGAACAUGUGUGCAACGUGUGUGUGUGCCUGGAAUACACAUGGCCGUACCAUGCAUGGUAACGUUUGUGUCACGAAUGUAUGUGAUCCCGAUUUAACAUAACUAUAAAUAUUUUUAUGAUCAUGACCUUUGAUCUAGAUAUAGAGAGUGAGAAUAUGUAUCUUUUUGACCUUUGACCUAUACCUGUCAAAACUAAGGUUGCAUUAUAUACAAACUAUCUCUCUCUGCUGCCGCUGUAGCCCAUCCACCUUAAGGUUUGAUGUGUUGUGCAUUAUGAGAUGCUUUUCUGCACACCAUGGUUAUAAAGAGUGCUUAUUUAAAAUACUAUAGACUUCCUGUCAGCUCAGGUCAGUCUAUUCAUUCUCCUCUGAUCUCUCUUAUCAACAAGCUGUUUCAGCCUGCAGACCCUCCACACACAGGAUGUUUUUUGGUUUUCGCACCAUUCUGUGUAAUUUCUUGCUAAUGAUUUUUUUUGUUCAUACAUAUGCAAUUAUAAAUAAAUUGAGUAAUUUUCUAAGUUUUUUAUUUAUUAGAAUAGACUUUGGAAAAUGUAGAUGUGCAAAAAUAGUAAUAGCACCAAUUAUAGCAAAGAGUGCAAACAAUGGUUCUUUCAAAUAAAGAAUAUUUAAAGAAAUGAUUUUAAAAAAAUACUAUUUGCACUAUUUGUGCUGUUGCUAUUAAUGGCGCCGUUACUAUUUUUGCACAACUUAGUGAACCCUUCUUUCUCAACAUAGUAAAUGGGAACCCGAAUAUCCCUACUACCCUACUACACAGUAGGCAAAAAGCAGUACGCCAAAGGAGUAGUGUGUCUGAAUUUUCAGUAUUUGUAAAACAUUAGGUGAGAAAUGCUAGUGCGACCUACUGAUUCCCUGAGAUUCUGCAGUAUGGAACCAUAGACAUACCACGUAUCCAAAACUGCAUACUUUGACAGUAGCUACUGCAAUUGUUUCGGUACACUCUUACAAGAAACAGUUCAAUAUAGAGCCUUACAGGGUUCUAUAGAAUGCUUCAUAUUUGGAACCCCGAAAACAUUCUAUAUAGAACCUUUUUAAGGGCUUCAAUCAAAGAACCCUAUAAGGUCCUUUGAAAAACAUUUAAAAAAUAAUUACACAGCUACAACGCAUGAGAGAUGCAGCUUUGGAUACCCUACAAGGUUCUUUGUGUCCUGUGAAAAGUUUCUAUCUAGAACUUUUUAUGGGUUCAUUCAUUUUCAUGGAUUUAAUAUUUUAUUGUUAGUUGUCCUUUACUGAAAAUAUUAUGGCAAAGUCAAAUAAAUAUUUCAUAUUAUUGACAGCUUAAAUAACCACAGAAGAAUUACAUUUUUAAUUAAUAAAUAAUAUUUAAUAGAGUAGCGUGGGAUAGAUUUCAAUGACUGUAAACAUGACACAAAUAUCAGUAAAAUAAUGAAAAUAUUUUUAUAUAAACCUAAAUCAUUAGUGCAUAGUGUGAGAAUUUAAGAAAUAUGUUAACUAUUAGAAUUACUAUUACUAUGCAAAUGUGGCAGGACAAGUGAUUUAACUAUCUGAGCCCCAGUACCUGUGAGUAAUCAUACAACUUUGCGUCUGGUGUUUGUUCAACCGAAGUUUAAGUACCCCUCUCCCUUUUUCACAUUGGAACUUGGUAGAUUUAGUUUGACACUACGAUCUUUGUGUUAAGGUAAGAGUGGGGAGUUGAGCACCUAAUCUUCUCUAAGACAAUGCCGAGACUCUACAUGUGACGCCACUGCUGUUUUGCUUGACCGUCGUUUUCUUGAUUGCUUUGUUCUGCUUUGUUUUGCUUGACAGCUUUGCUUAUGGGCACUUUGCUGGGCUGGUUCACUUACGGUCUUUGCUUUGGUCAUGUUGCUUAGCAGCACGCUUGGCAUGUCUGUUUACAUGCCUCGCCUCCACUGUGUUGCAUAUCAGCUUUACUUGUUGCUGGUGUAAUAUUUAUUUUGCUUUUCUCUGUUUGUGCUGUCUUCUUUCCUUUUUCUGUUAUUUUUCAUUGCUUUCGUUGACUUUAGUUUUGGAUAUAUUUUUGGCUUGCAACCACAAGCCAGGGGUUGUGAGGGGCUCACUAUUAAAUUGGUGUGUUUUCCAGCCUCAAACCUGUUCUUUCAGGUUUGUUUUCCCACACAAUCACCUUAAUGAUGGGGUGUAUGUUGUGGCUUUGUCCUAUUGUCUCCAUGCUAUAGUGGCUAUACUUUUUUUUUAGUUAUGGUUUACCAUAAUUCUGUUUCUGCUUAGGUGCUGUUUAACUGCCUCUAUUGCAUGUGGUGGUGUCGGUGGGCCUGGGUGUUCUAGCCACCACACCAUGGUGUCUGUAAUAUUUUUGUUUUUUGUUUGUUACGUGUUGUGAAAUUUUGGGUUAAUUGGUGUUUUUCUUUCUUUUCUUUCUCUCCAGGAGCUAGUCAGUCUUGGUGUGGGACAAGGGAGGCUAACUACCUUCAUUCGGUGGUGUGUGCUUCACAGCAUGCUCAGUGUGUCAACACAACUUCCUUAUGGUGUAGGUAGUGUUUGAUGAUUUUGGUGUGAAUUAAGGUGGGUGUGGAUGACCUUCCGAGCUGUAGCUGACCUGCCUUGUUCCAUCCAAGCCUGGGCCUGGAGAAGUGCUUAGUUUUUUAAAAUUCUUAUGGGAGGGCGAUUUUAUAUUUGUGUUAAGGCUUAAUGAUGCUUAAGUGUUAUAAUAUAUAUUUUUUAUAUUCAUA